GAUGAACGCUGGCGGUAUGCCUAACACAUGCAAGUCGUACGAGAGUUUUUAACUCUAGUGGCGGACGGGUGAGUAAUGCCUAGGAAUCUGCCUAGUGGUGGGGGAUAACGUUCGGAAACGGACGCUAAUACCGCAUACGUCCUACGGGAGAAAGCGGGGGAUCUUCGGACCUCGCGCCAUUAGAUGAGCCUAGGUCGGAUUAGCUAGUUGGUGAGGUAAUGGCUCACCAAGGCGACGAUCCGUAACUGGUCUGAGAGGAUGAUCAGUCACACUGGAACUGAGACACGGUCCAGACUCCUACGGGAGGCAGCAGUGGGGAAUAUUGGACAAUGGGCGAAAGCCUGAUCCAGCCAUGCCGCGUGUGUGAAGAAGGUCUUCGGAUUGUAAAGCACUUUAAGUUGGGAGGAAGGGCAGUAACCUAAUACGUUAUUGUUUUGACGUUACCGACAGAAUAAGCACCGGCUAACUUCGUG
rnacentral:rRNA from 1 species